CUGUUUCUCAGAUUCUCCCUGCGUAAUUACGUUCUUUCACUCUCCAAAGGGUUCCAGUUUGGAGGAUAAAUUAUACAAUCCCUCUGAGACGAGCUCACUUAUAAAACUGGCUGAGUUUGAGGCAUUUGGCAGUCUAGAUCUUUUACAACUUUUUCAAUUUCCCAUAUGAUUAUUGUCUAUUGAAAUUUUUUGUUUAUUUUUGAGCCAACUUAAAAAUGUAUUUAUUUUCUUAGACAAUCUUUCAUUUCACGGAGGUUUCGAAGUUUGUCAGUAUACAAUUGCACAAGCUACUUCUUUCAAGUACCUUUGGGACGAAAUAUUUUCCGGUCUGGCUGAGAUGAAGAGGAACGAGGGACAUUGCCCGUUUGAAAUCUCAACUCUACUACACAGAAUCAGUAACAGCCAGGAGCCAUAUUGCCUGACUGUCCCCACCACCCACCCACACACACACCUGGUCUAAAUAUGUAUUUACAAAAUAUAAAUACAUGUUUACACAUUUCAGAUUGACCAAUUGGAGUAACAACUCUGGAAUUUUCACAGCUUAGGCAAUUUGAGAAUAGCGUCUCUUCUUUCUAUGCCAUGUGCUAGAAUGAAAUUAGGAUUCAACUUGAUUGGGUGUGAAUUUUUGGAGGUAGCUGUUCUUAUCUGGCAUGUCUACUGAGUUUUCUUAAAUGAAUAUACAUAUGCCUUCAACCAAUUACCCCUCCCUCUUUCCCUUCCUUCCUUCUUCCCUCCCUCCCUCCUUUCCUUCCUUCCAUCCAUCCAUCAAGUUACCUAUGAUUUUCCUGCUAAGUCGUCCCCCAGUGGCUGAGGGUAAAAUCCACAGUCUGAAUCCUUUUUAAAUUUUAAUUUAAAAGUAAAAAUGUGGGUGCUUCCAAUUGUGUCCGCUGAUACCCUUUGUUUAAAUCAAAGCAUUCUAAAGGAAAACUCCUUUCUAUUGUUGACAACCCUUUCAAUUUCUAGUCCGCUCUUCUUAGGGGCAGUAGUGAAGGGCUUUAAAUUGAUCCCUUUAUUUUUUUGAAAUGGAAGAAGUGUCAAAUAUUCGAAUUUGUCUUGAUCAUUUAUUUUCCACGAGCAGGGAGCAAACACUGUGUGAGUGAUACGUGCACAUUCUGUAGGUGGUUAUGAUGAAUAAAUUGGUUGUACGAUGCAGAAAUCAAAUGAUGGAGCGAUGAUGAUGAUGAGCAAAUCAAAUGUAUUUGCAUCGCCUUCUCACUUCUGAAAUGGCGUUAAGUCAGGGAUUUUACUAGAGUGAAUCCACACGUCUGCAUUUCUACCAGAAUGAAAGCUGCAGCUUGUGCAUAUAGAGACUGGGAAAAGCAGAGGGUUUCCUGCCAAUUUAGAGGAGGAAAACAUCAGAUUGUUACAAAGUUUAUGAGUAAUUUAAAGUCAGUCACUACUGCUGCAACGUGUAGAGUCUGAGCACCCACAAAUAGUGAGGAGAAAAUAGACGGAAGAUAGAACCUAAAGACUAAAAAAGAGUAAUUAGAAAUGCUAAUAACUCAGUGGUAUGUAUGUUCAUUGGGCAAUUUUCAUGGCCAAACUCUCUAUUUUGUUCGUUUUAAAGGUUGUUGUUUUUUUAAAAAUACCUUUGAAUACUUAUUAAAUCUGGAUCUGGAUGCUAUUAAGCAAGAGCUCUGCUUAUGGACCAAGGCUGACAAACAUACAGUAUCCUUUUGAAGAUACAGCCUGAAUCUAUUGGCGGGUAAUUGCCAUGGAUUUAGUCAUUAGUUAAUAUCGCAUCACAUCAAAUAGAGGAAAAGACACGAGAACGCAUUUCUCCUGAAAAAAAAUUGUUGUUUUCUGCUUUUGAAUAAAAGCAUUAAUAAAUAUUGAGCUCCAGAGAAAUUUUUUCAAUUUCAUCAAGAUAAAAAACAAUGUUGUUGUUAUUGUUUUGUACUUUUCAAUAAUCUCUGAAACUGAGCCAAUAAGUCAUUUUACCUGGUCUGUAUUUGUAAUCUGUUCCUUCAAAGCAGUCAGCUGAAUUAUAUUCCAACACACAUGUUUUUAGUGCCUGCUGUGUACAAGUAAUAUUAAGCCAAGUGUGAGUUAGAAUCUCUUAUGUACACUGUCUUGCCAUGGUGGGACGCUCUGAGCACUUAUCUUUUGGAUUUAUGGUCAGAAUAUGGGACCAGCUUCAAGAAAGCACAUGGGGAAAUGGGAAGGAAGUGUAGGGUUUGUGGACAAAGAAGUGCUCUGGGGCUUAAAGCCAAUUUCCACACAUUCUGCCCAUCUCUAAUCCUCAGUCUAGGAGGGGAUUGCAGUGUUAUUUCUCAGGUCAUCUUUAUGAAAUACACCCUUCCCCUAUUCUCUUUUUUUUUUUUCUUUUGAGACAGAGUCUUGUUCUGUUCCCCAGGCUGAAGUGCAGUGGCAUGAUCACAGUCCACUGCAGCCUCAACCUCCUGGACUCAGGCAACCCACCUACCUCUCAGCUUCCUGAGUAGCUGGGACUACAGGCACAGACUUCCAUGACUGGCUGAAUUUUUUGUACUUUUUGAAGUGACAGGGUUUUGCCAUGUUGCCUAGGCUGGUCUCGAACUCCUGGGCUCAAGGGAUCCAUCUGCCCACCUCAGCCUCCCAAAGUGUUGAGAUUACAGGCAUGAGCCACCGCACAGGACCUUCUCCCAUUCUUCUUGUGAGAGUGUUCAGCAUAUAUUUUAAUCUUUUGUGAUGAUUGCCAGUUAAGAGGACCCAUGUCAGGAUUUUUAUGAUGAAACUUGCCUGUGGGUAAGUAGUAGUAUUCAUAAUAAUACCUUGUGUUGAUAUAGAAAUUUUAGAUCCAUCACAGUUUUUUUCACAUUUGUUCCCUCGUUGGAUCUUCAAAAACAAUCAUGUUGGAUAAUUAGGGAUACCUAGUAUUUUCCGCAUUUUAUAGAAGAAAAAUGGGCAUUUGGGUUGAUUCUAUGUCUUUGCUAUUGUGAAUAGUGCUGCAAUGAACAUACGCGUGCAG
rnacentral:lncRNA from 10 species